CCCUCUUGCUUUUGCAGCUCUUGGUCUGGUUUCUGAGUCUUGGGGGCUCCUCGGGAUCCUGAGGUCCUUAGGGGUCUGGGGUCUUUCAGUUCCACACCUAAACAGAGAAACCCUGUCAUGAAAAACAAAACAAAAUAAAAUAAAAAUAUUGGGAGUAGAGAUUGCAGUCUCUAAGAUAGCAUUCUGUGCUCAGGAAACAUGGUUCAGUGAGUCAGUGAAAUUCUUGCUUUGCCAUGGAAGGGAAGUUCAAUUCCUAACUUUUUUUAUUGUUUUCUUGACUAGGGCUUUCUCUGUGUAAUAGCCUGGGCUAUUCUGAGACUCACUUAGAACACCAGGCUUGCUUCAAACUCUCAGAGAUUCACCUACAUUUGCCUCCAUGGUGCUGGGAUUAAAGCCGUGGGCCACCAAACCCAGUUUGAAUACUUUUAUAACAUUCCUAAUAUACAAUGAUUCACAGGAAAGCCCCUAAAAUGCUGCAUCAUGGGAAACACUCACUUCUCAGUGCCUGGAGGUCACAUUUACUUCAGGUCUGCAUUCAAUGAGAUUCCAUAGGAAGAAAAAACUUGAUGCAGAAAAAUAGAAACAUAACAAAUCCAGGCUCACAGUUUGAAUGUUAGCUUGUCAGAUACUCAUCAAAACAACUGUGAAUCACAGCACUGUGUGAGCUAUAAACUGAUAAUUUGCCUUAGCAAACAACAAAUAUCAGAUAGAUGAGGUUUAAUCCAGUUGGCAGAUUGAGAUCUCCUUAGCAUCAAAUCCCUUGUGUGGUGGACCUUGCUCGUGGUGAUUCCCAGUCCUCCAGAUCAUCAUCAGAUUAAAAGAAAGUUCAAGGGCAGUUAAGCAUACCUGAGACCCCACGCUAAAAAAAACCUAUGGAGCAAUUGUGGGACAUGCCUUCAAUCCCAGCACUUGGUAGGCAGAUACAAGAACAUCUCAUAGUUCAGUUUGGUCUACAAAAUGAGUCACAGGAUAGCUGUGGCUACUAAGAGAAACUCUUUUUGGAACAAAAAGGAAGUGAAAAAUAUAAUUAGAAGAUUGAUCAUAUCUUUCACAACAAUAUUGCAGUCCUUUCUCCCAAGCUUAUAUCAAGAGCAGGUGCAUGACUAGUGCAUUUGCUAAUGCCAAAGAAUCAGGAUAAAAUUUCACCUUGUACACACUUUUCAAACCAGAAGGCGAACACAUAUCCAAUUUGGACAAAUGAAGCAGCUGAAGACCUUGGUGAAGGCAAACUCAAUGUUUAUAGGUCUCAAUACUCAGUGUGUGUGAGAGGCAGGUGGAUCAGAAUUUCAUAGUAACCAGAAGUCAUACAAUGAGUUUGAGAACUGUCUGAGCUACAGAAACCCCAUGUCAAAUUCUACCCUCUGAGAUACUACAAAAUGGUGGGGCCAAUUUUGUGAGAAUACAAAAAU
rnacentral:lncRNA from 1 species